UUAGAAACGAAGAAAGAAGAAAGGGGGGAGUCCGAGGGAGAAGGGAGAUCGGGAAGGGAGGAGGGACCGUGCUGCAUCUUGCCGCCGCACCACCAUCACCGGAGAGAAAGAGAUCUGAGGAAAGCAGAGGAGAGCGGAGAAGAAGACCGCGCUGGCGUGCUGGGCCUUACCGCCGCCGUCGCGUCAUUGUCGAACCAUGGAGAGAGAGAGAGAGCGUUCACGGAAGGAGCCAUGGGAGAGAGUUCGAGCGCAAGCCAGGACUGGGAGGGAGAAGGCACCGUCGUGCAUCCUCUUGCCGUCGCUGGAGAUCUCGUCGUCGCCGCCGAUCGUCCUUGCGCCGCGUCAGAAAUAGAACUGCGAACGGAAGGGAGCGCGAACCAUAGCCACGGACGGAGAAGAAAGAGCGCGCGCGGAGGAGGUGAAGCCGUCAUUGUCACCAUCGCGUGUGGAGUCGCCGCUGCGCCUGGUCUCCGUUGCUGCUGAGCUUCGACCGCCGCCGUUCCUGCCGCCGUUAAGCCUCGGUUAGCACCGCCGAAGCUCCUGCCACCACUGUCGUUGAGGAAGCUCACUGGAGUUGUUGGAGGCUACCGCCGCUGUUCCGGAAAUUUAACUCUGCUUGAGCCGUCUCUGCUGUAAUCCUCACUGCUCGCUGUAAUCAUGUCUCAGUGUUUACCCUAGCUUGUGGUUAGUACGGGCAACCGCAGAAGCUUUCAGAGUUAUUGAUGCUCCUGCCAAGGUUUUCUUUCUUCUGAUAGAAAACAAUGAGGAGAUUCUUCCAUUUUGCACACAGAUUCUCCAGUUCCAGGCUUAGUGGUAUUAAUUUCUUAAAUUCAUGCUAAAUGAUAUACAUAUAGUGGUCUAAUUUUUUUGGCAAUUAACUUAAUUGAACAUAACUUGCAUAAAAAAUGUAUUGCUUUUGUAAUGCCUAAUUAGAAUCUCCUGAAUAGAUUCCCAACUGGCCAUGUGGUGUGCAAUACUUAAAUCCUUCAAAUAAAUUUGUCUUGUGCAUAUAUAGGAAAUUCUUAUCAUCAUGUAAGGAGCAGAUGUAAGUUCAGUGGCACAUAUAUAGUAAUUAAACUAAUUGUCAUUAUUCUGAUAAAUUCCCUCCUAAUGAGUGGUUUUACUUUUUUUUUAGUUUGCCAAAUGUUUUGAACCAGUCUUAGACAGCCAAUUUUUGCUGUACUAUAAAGCUUUGGUUCAUUUGAUUUUGAUUGUUGGAUUGCCACUUCAUUCUAUUUCAAAUAAUCAGAAUAUGUAAUAGUAUGCAAGUGAUACUCCUAUUUUGCAAGCCACUAUAUGCCAGUAGUUUAUUAGCGAUAAUUCGGACUCUUCUAGAAUAGUCUCGAAUAGAUGAAAUCAGGAUAUUAGGCUGCAACACUCUUGUUGAUUUUAUAGAAUUCCAGGUAUUUGGUUAUUAAACCUUUCUUAGGGUUAACAUCACUGUAUGAUUGGUUUCCGUGGAUACUGUGCAGCGAUAUGCAAUCCCUUUAAAAAAUAUCUGUGUGGAAGUUAAUUUUGGUGGUAAAAGUGGGUACCCCUUAGCUCAAAAAGAAAAACCAGAGUUCUUUAUAUAGAUAUUGCAUGUUUUAGCCCUAUAUAUUUGCUUUCUUUUCUAAAAGGAACAAUUUUUGUAUGUCUGACUUUUUGAGUUAAAAAUAGACUACAUACGUGUUCAACUUAGAGGGUUUUAUACUUAAACUAUGCCAAUUGGCUCAAGAAGUGGGCAAAGAUGAACGAGCUCUGUAUCUACGUUCAGUAGGACUACAAGCUCUAUCCUAUAUGGUAUUGCUCCUUGUCUUGGUUCUUCCUUUGCUUCUGGAAAUUGCUUAAUUCUUGUUCCAUUCCCAUAAUUCAAUAUGUUUAGGACUGUUCUUAAUAAAAUAUACACAAGAAAAUUUAUUAAAUAUAUAGUAGCACACAAAGAAAAGCACCCCUUAACUAUUUUUUAUAAACACAACUCUUUAUGGAGGAGUAGGACAUAUUUGGGGUGAACUUAUGGUUAUAAGCGGGAGACAUUUAAAUGAAAAAACCUUCUCAAUUUGUAAUCUGCACAUGAUAGAUAAACCCAUCUUAUUAAUUAGAAGUAGAGAUAAUUUAUUUGAAGGAUGGUUUCUUAGGAUUUAUUGUGAAUUAAUAUUAUGGUUGCUGUUGUUCAGUAGUAGUAGAAUAUUUCCAAGAUAUCAAGGUUUUGUUAUUGCUGGUUUUCUUUUCAGAAUUAUUGUCUUAAAUCUAGUAUCAGACUGCUUAAAGAAGCUUACCAAUCAAACAGUUUUGAGUAAACCGUCUUUGACAAAGCAUCUCGGCUCAAAGAAGCCGAGUCCGGGUCGAGUGGUUUUGUAAUAUUGCCAUCAGGAGUAACAAUGACACGCUUGCAAAGUGAGUCCUCUAAUGCUUUCUCAUCACACCUGAACAAAUGGUGAGUCAAAGGACACUAAAGGUGAAACACUGAAACUAGAAGCAUUUGUGGAUGGAUCUAUGAUUUUUACAUGAACAACUCUGUAGCUGUCCGAUGGAAGAGUGGUUUUUCAUCUUUCAGUUUGGAAGAAUCAACUUCAGUCCCUUUGACAAAGUCAAUGUUACUAAGGUGGAGGAUUGCGGCGACCACACGAAAAAUAGCAUCCUGUGUAAGGAAAUUUUGUUAAAUUAAAUGUGUAUAGAAAGAAAUCAAUGCUUCAUUGAAAUAAUAAAAUUUGAUGCACAAAUGUGAUGAUCCUAUACCUGUUCUUCCUGGUUGAUUCCUACAAUAUCCAUUGCAUUUCUGGUCUCCAAGUAUUCUUUUGCAUCAUCUACAUUUGAAACUUCAUAACAGUUUGAUUAAGAUAGUGGAAUUGCUUUGGAUUCCCCAACUUGUACUUCUUGCAUCCUAUUGAGUAAAUUGUAACAGUUAGUCUUGUGAGUGAUAAAUUAUGUUUAAUUUCUUUCAAGAUUGUUAUGGAGAAUUCAAUCACCUCUGAUGGUGCUGAACAAAGCAUGUAAAAGCAGUGAUAGUCUCUCUCCGGGUCGGACACUUGGCAUACUCGUGACCUUUCUAGGAGAUAUGUUCUAAUUGCAGCUCCAGGAAUUUUUCCAUUCUAUAAACACCCCCUCUCUCUCUCUCUCUUUUUUUUAAUGGUGGUUGUUAACCUGUUAUAUAUGAAUUGUGAUGGUGACGGCGAGAUAUAAUAUUGGAGCAUAAAUAAUGGAAGUUGUGCAAGAGUCUUCAAGGGUGGCACCGCCCAGAUGAGAUUUCAACCACGUCUAGGGAGGUACUUGGCUGCAGCUGCAGAGAAUGUUGUUUCUAUACUUGAUGUGAUGACACAAGGAUGCCGAUAUUCAUUAAAGAUUUAGCAUAUAUGAGACAAGUCAAGCAUGGAUAUAAAAUAUGCAAGUAGAUUAACAUCUUUUUAACAAAUAUUAAUUACUAUUUUGUUAUGACAAUUAUUGUCGGAC